rnacentral:rRNA from 1 species
AUUGAACGCUGGCGGCAGGCCUAACACAUGCAAGUCGAGCGGAUGAAGGGAGCUUGCUCCUGGAUUCAGCGGCGGACGGGUGAGUAAUGCCUAGGAAUCUGCCUGGUAGUGGGGGAUAACGUCCGGAAACGGGCGCUAAUACCGCAUACGUCCUGAGGGAGAAAGUGGGGGAUCUUCGGACCUCACGCUAUCAACUAAGCCUAGGUCGGAUUAGCUAGUUGGUGGGGUAAAGGCCUACCAAGGCGACGAUCCGUAACUGGUCUGAGAGGAUGAUCACUCACACUGGAACUGAGACACGGUCCAGACUCCUACGGGAGGCAGCAGUGGGGAAUAUUGGACAAUGGGCGAAAGCCUGAUCCAGCCAUGCCGCGUGUGUGAAGAAGGUCUUCGGAUUGUAAAGCACUUUAAGUUGGGAGGAAGGGCAGUAAGUUAAUACCUUGCUGUUUUGACGUUACCAACAGAAUAAGCACCGGCUAACUUCGUG